AUGUGCACUUAGUAGCUUGUUGUUACUACAAAGAUGCUCGCGUCCACUGUGAAGUUCUCAAAAUACGAUCGGUCCCGCACAACACCCCCACGCCUACCAAGCCACCCCUUCCGGGACAACCUGACGGUUCGUAAGAAUAUGCGGUCCGAGGAAACCAACUCUGACGAGCUGAUCCCUCAGGACCCAACAGUGUGCCUGAUUCAAUGAACACAUCCAAACAACGUUCCUGCCUCCGAAGAGGUGUACUAGCCACUCUUAGCAUCCAUCAAGCCAAAUAAUCGACAAUCCACUAGUGAGCUGAGACCGCAUCCACACGAACGGUGAAUAAACGACUCAUGGACAACCACCACGAUGGGCAGCUGCCAGAUGCUCCUUAGAAAGGAGGUGAUCCAGCCGCACCUUCCGG
rnacentral:misc_RNA from 1 species